UGCCCAAGAGAUCGGGAUAACACCUGGAAACAGAUGCUAAUACCGGAUAACAACAGAUGAUGCCUAUCAACUGUUUAAAAGAUGGUUCUGCUAUCACUCUUGGAUGGACCUGCGGUGCAUUAGCUAGUUGGUAGGGUAACGGCCUACCAAGGCGAUGAUGCAUAGCCGAGUUGAGAGACUGAUCGGCCACAUUUGGGACUGAGACACGGCCCAAACUCCUACGGGAGGCAGCAGGC
rnacentral:rRNA from 1 species